AUUGAACGCUGGCGGCAGGCUUAACACAUGCAAGUCGAGCGGGGGAAGGUAGCUUGCUACUGGACCUAGCGGCGGACGGGUGAGUAAUGCUUAGGAAUCUGCCUAUUAGUGGGGGACAACAUCUCGAAAGGGAUGCUAAUACCGCAUACGUCCUACGGGAGAAAGCAGGGGAUCUUCGGACCUUGCGCUAAUAGAUGAGCCUAAGUCGGAUUAGCUAGUUGGUGGGGUAAAGGCCUACCAAGGCGACGAUCUGUAGCGGGUCUGAGAGGAUGAUCCGCCACAAUGGGACUGAGACACGGCCCAGACUCCUACGGGAGGUAGCAGUGGGGAAUAUUGGACAAUGGGGGGAACCCUGAUCCAGCCAUGCCGCGUGUGUGAAGAAGGCCUUAUGGUUGUAAAGCACUUUAAGCGAGGAGGAGGCUACUUUAGUUAAUACCUAGAGAUAGUGGACGUUACUCGCAGAAUAAGCACCGGCUAACUCUGUGCCAGCAGCCGCCGUAA
rnacentral:rRNA from 1 species